rnacentral:rRNA from 1 species
CCCCUAGAUGUUCUGGGCCGCACGCGCGCUACACUGAACAGUUCAACAAGUCUUAACCUUGGCCGAUAGGUCUGGGUAAUCUUUGAACGCUGUUCGUGAUUGGGAUAGACCUUUGCAAUUAUGGGUCUUCAACGAGGAAUUCCUAGUAAACGCAAGUCAUCAACUUGCAUUGAUUACGUCCCUGCCCUUUGUACACACCGCCCGUCGCACCUACCGAUUGAAUGGUCCGGUGAAGCCUCCGGAUUGGCGCGCACCUCGGUGCCGCCGAGAAGUUGGCUAAACCUUACCAUUUAGAGGAAGGUGAANUCGUAACA